GGGUUGUGAGGUUAAGCGACUAAGCGUACACGGUGGAUGCCCAGGCAGUCAGAGGCGAUGAAGGACGUGCUAAUCUGCGAUAAGCGUCGGUAAGGUGAUAUGAACCGUUAUAACCGGCGAUUUCCGAAUGGGGAAACCCAGUGUGUUUCGACACACUAUCAUUAACUGAAUCCAUAGGUUAAUGAGGCGAACCGGGGGAACUGAAACAUCUAAGUACCCCGAGGAAAAGAAAUCAACCGAGAUUCCCCCAGUAGCGGCGAGCGAACGGGGAGCAGCCCAGAGCCUGAAUCAGUGUGUGUGUUAGUGGAAGCGUCUGGAAAGGCGCGCGAUACAGGGUGACAGCCCCGUACACAAAAAUGCACAUGCUGUGAGCUCGAUGAGUAGGGCGGGACACGUGGUAUCCUGUCUGAAUAUGGGGGGACCAUCCUCCAAGGCUAAAUACUCCUGACUGACCGAUAGUGAACCAGUACCGUGAGGGAAAGGCGAAAAGAACCCCGGCGAGGGGAGUGAAAAAGAACCUGAAACCGUGUACGUACAAGCAGUGGGAGCACGCUUAGGCGUGUGACUGCGUACCUUUUGUAUAAUGGGUCAGCGACUUAUAUUCUGUAGCAAGGUUAACCGAAUAGGGGAGCCGAAGGGAAACCGAGUCUUAACUGGGCGUUAAGUUGCAGGGUAUAGACCCGAAACCCGGUGAUCUAGCCAUGGGCAGGUUGAAGGUUGGGUAACACUAACUGGAGGACCGAACCGACUAAUGUUGAAAAAUUAGCGGAUGACUUGUGGCUGGGGGUGAAAGGCCAAUCAAACCGGGAGAUAGCUGGUUCUCCCCGAAAGCUAUUUAGGUAGCGCCUCGUGAAUUCAUCUCCGGGGGUAGAGCACUGUUUCGGCAAGGGGGGCAUCCCGACUUACCAACCCGAUGCAAACUGCGAAUACCGGAGAAUGUUAUCACGGGAGACACACGGCGGGUGCUAACGUCCGUCGUGAAGAGGGAAACAACCCAGACCGCCAGCUAAGGUCCCAAAGUCAUGGUUAAGUGGGAAACGAUGUGGGAAGGCCCAGACAGCCAGGAUGUUGGCUUAGAAGCAGCCAUCAUUUAAAGAAAGCGUAAUAGCUCACUGGUCGAGUCGGCCUGCGCGGAAGAUGUAACGGGGCUAAACCAUGCACCGAAGCUGCGGCAGCGACGCUUAUGCGUUGUUGGGUAGGGGAGCGUUCUGUAAGCCUGUGAAGGUGUGCUGUGAGGCAUGCUGGAGGUAUCAGAAGUGCGAAUGCUGACAUAAGUAACGAUAAAGCGGGUGAAAAGCCCGCUCGCCGGAAGACCAAGGGUUCCUGUCCAACGUUAAUCGGGGCAGGGUGAGUCGACCCCUAAGGCGAGGCCGAAAGGCGUAGUCGAUGGGAAACAGGUUAAUAUUCCUGUACUUGGUGUUACUGCGAAGGGGGGACGGAGAAGGCUAUGUUGGCCGGGCGACGGUUGUCCCGGUUUAAGCGUGUAGGCUGGUUUUCCAGGCAAAUCCGGAAAAUCAAGGCUGAGGCGUGAUGACGAGGCACUACGGUGCUGAAGCAACAAAUGCCCUGCUUCCAGGAAAAGCCUCUAAGCAUCAGGUAACAUCAAAUCGUACCCCAAACCGACACAGGUGGUCAGGUAGAGAAUACCAAGGCGCUUGAGAGAACUCGGGUGAAGGAACUAGGCAAAAUGGUGCCGUAACUUCGGGAGAAGGCACGCUGAUAUGUAGGUGAAGUCCCUCGCGGAUGGAGCUGAAAUCAGUCGAAGAUACCAGCUGGCUGCAACUGUUUAUUAAAAACACAGCACUGUGCAAACACGAAAGUGGACGUAUACGGUGUGACGCCUGCCCGGUGCCGGAAGGUUAAUUGAUGGGGUUAGCCGCAAGGCGAAGCUCUUGAUCGAAGCCCCGGUAAACGGCGGCCGUAACUAUAACGGUCCUAAGGUAGCGAAAUUCCUUGUCGGGUAAGUUCCGACCUGCACGAAUGGCGUAAUGAUGGCCAGGCUGUCUCCACCCGAGACUCAGUGAAAUUGAACUCGCUGUGAAGAUGCAGUGUACCCGCGGCAAGACGGAAAGACCCCGUGAACCUUUACUAUAGCUUGACACUGAACAUUGAGCCUUGAUGUGUAGGAUAGGUGGGAGGCUUAGAAGUGUGGACGCCAGUCUGCAUGGAGCCGACCUUGAAAUACCACCCUUUAAUGUUUGAUGUUCUAACGUUGACCCGUAAUCCGGGUUGCGGACAGUGUCUGGUGGGUAGUUUGACUGGGGCGGUCUCCUCCUAAAGAGUAACGGAGGAGCACGAAGGUUGGCUAAUCCUGGUCGGACAUCAGGAGGUUAGUGCAAUGGCAUAAGCCAGCUUGACUGCGAGCGUGACGGCGCGAGCAGGUGCGAAAGCAGGUCAUAGUGAUCCGGUGGUUCUGAAUGGAAGGGCCAUCGCUCAACGGAUAAAAGGUACUCCGGGGAUAACAGGCUGAUACCGCCCAAGAGUUCAUAUCGACGGCGGUGUUUGGCACCUCGAUGUCGGCUCAUCACAUCCUGGGGCUGAAGUAGGUCCCAAGGGUAUGGCUGUUCGCCAUUUAAAGUGGUACGCGAGCUGGGUUUAGAACGUCGUGAGACAGUUCGGUCCCUAUCUGCCGUGGGCGCUGGAGAACUGAGGGGGGCUGCUCCUAGUACGAGAGGACCGGAGUGGACGCAUCACUGGUGUUCGGGUUGUCAUGCCAAUGGCACUGCCCGGUAGCUAAAUGCGGAAGAGAUAAGUGCUGAAAGCAUCUAAGCACGAAACUUGCCCCGAGAUGAGUUCUCCCUGACUCCUUGAGAGUCCUGAAGGAACGUUGAAGACGACGACGUUGAUAGGCCGGGUGUGUAAGCGCAGCGAUGCGUUGAGCUAACCGGUACUAAUGAACCGUGAGGCUUAACCUUACAACGCCGAAGGUGUUU
rnacentral:rRNA from 1 species